GCCUAAAAUCUAGCCCAUAAAACCCCCAUGACCUCACCAACCUUCCAAUUUAUAAACAAAACAUUUUAACAUUUUAGUACAGGAGAUCAAAAAAUUACUAAGCGCUUCAGAUAAAGUACCGAAAGGGAAAGAUGAAAUAAAAAUGAAAUAACGUUAAAGCCCUAAACAGUAGAGACUUCCCCUCG
rnacentral:rRNA from 1 species